AUUGAACGCUGGCGGCAGGCCUAACACAUGCAAGUCGAGCGAGCGGCGGACGGGUGAGUAAUGUCUGGGAAACUGCCUGAUGGAGGGGGAUAACUACUGGAAACGGUAGCUAAUACCGCAUACCAUCAGAUGUGCCCAGAUGGGAUUAGCGAGUAGGUGGGGUAAAGGCUCACCUAGGCGACGAUCACUAGCUGGUCUGAGAGGAUGACCAGCCACACUGGAACGGAGACACGGUCCAGACUCCUACGGGAGGCAGCAGUGGGGAAUGUUGCACAAUGGGCGAAAGCCUGAUGCAGCCAUGCCGCGUGUAUGAGGAAGGCCUUCGGGUUGUAAAGUACUUUCAGCGGGGAGGCGGUACCCGCAGAAGAAGCACCGGCUAACUCCGUGCCAGCAGCCGCGGUAAUAC
rnacentral:rRNA from 1 species